UUGAUAAGGGCGGGACUUAUACCCACCUAAACAGGGCUAACACCUGGCGGCUACCUCGGGCCACC
rnacentral:tRNA from 1 species